CGCGUUGUAAUUUGUAUAAGAUGCUUUGGGUGUCGGCCCAGUCUAAGUUCCUUGGAACAGGACGUCAUAGAGGGUGAGAAUCCCGUAUGUGAUUGGUACCGGGGCCCGUGUAAAGCUCUUUCGACGAGUCGAGUUGUUUGGGAAUGCAGCUCAAAAUGGGUGGUAAAUUUCAUCUAAAGCUAAAUAUUGGCCAGAGACCGAUAGCGCACAAGUAGAGUGAUCGAAAGAUGAAAAGCACUUUGGAAAGAGAGUUAAACAGUACGUGAAAUUGUUGAAAGGGAAGCGCUUGCAAUCAGACUUGCGGGCGGUCGAUCAUCCGAGCUUCUGCCCGGUGCACUCGAUCGCUCUCAGGCCAGCAUCGGUUUCGGUGGUGGGAUAAAGACCGUGGGAAUGUGGCUCCUCGGAGUGUUAUAGCCUACGGUGCAAUGCCGCCUACCGGGACCGAGGACCGCGCUUCGGCUAGGAUGCUGGCGUAAUGGUUGUAAGCGACCCGUCUUGAAACACGGACCAAGGAGUCUAACAUCUAUGCGAGUGUUUGGGUGUCAAACCCAUACGCGUAAUGAAAGUGAACGGAGGUAAGAGCCCAUUAGGGUGCAUUAUCGACCGAUCCUGAUGUCUUCGGAUGGAUUUGAGUAAGAGCAUAGCUGUUGGGACCCGAAAGAUGGUGAACUAUGCGUGAAUAGGGUGAAGCCAGAGGAAACUCUGGUGGAGGCUCGCAGCGGUUCUGACGUGCAAAUCGAUCGUCAAAUUUGCGUAUAGGGGCGAAAGACUAAUCGAACCAUUGGGAUGGCUACUAGGUGGUUAAGAUACGUGGGUUAUAGUCCGCUGGCCCGCCAGCGGGCGACACUCUCAAAGUGCGGGGACGUCCUGGCAGUUCACAGCUACCGCAGCCGCGCCGAAAGGGCGGCGAGCACCGGCCCGUAAGGGGGCCCGGGGAUGGUAACAACGCUGGUGAUAGGGAUGAUCCGCAGCCAAGUCCUACCGGCGCGAGCCCACGGACGCAGUUCACAGACUAGAUGUGAGUGGGCCCCUCGGGGCUUAAGUUAUAGUCGACCCCCCGCGAGAGCGGGUGGAAGCAGUGCUAGUAGCUGGUUCCUGCCGAAGUUUCCCUCAGGAUAGCAGUGUUGUUUUCAGUUUUAUGAGGUAAAGCGAAUGAUUAGAGGCCUUGGGGUUGAAACAACCUUAACCUAUUCUCAAACUUUAAAUAUGUAAGAAGUCCUUGUUGCUUAAUUGAACGUGGACAUUCGAAUGCACCAACACUAGUGGGCCAUUUUUGGUAAGCAGAACUGGCGAUGCGGGAUGAACCGAACGGGGAGUUAAGGUGCCGGAAUCUACGCUCAUCAGACACCACAAAAGGUGUUAGUUCAUCUAGACAGCAGGACGGUGGCCAUGGAAGUCGGAAUCCGCUAAGGAAUGUGUAACAACUCACCUGCCGAAUGAACUAGCCCUGAAAAUGGAUGGCGCUUAAGCGUAGUACCCAUACUCCCCCGCCCGGGUAGAAACGAUGCCCGGGCGAGUAGGCAGGCGUGGGG
rnacentral:ncRNA from 1 species